rnacentral:rRNA from 1 species
AGAUUGAACGCUGGCGGCAGGCCUAACACAUGCAAGUCGAGCGGCAGCACGGGUACUGUACCUGGUGGCGAGCGGCGGACGGGUGAGUAAUGCCUAGGAAUCUGCCUGGUAGUGGGGGAUAACGCUCGGAAACGGACGCUAAUACCGCAUACGUCCUACGGGAGAAAGCAGGGGACCUUCGGGCCUUGCGCUAUCAGAUGAGCCUAGGUCGGAUUAGCUAGUUGGUGAGGUAAUGGCUCACCAAGGCGACGAUCCGUAACUGGUCUGAGAGGAUGAUCAGUCACACUGGAACUGAGACACGGUCCAGACUCCUACGGGAGCAGCAGUGGGGAAUAUUGGGCAAU